CCCUUAGAUGUUCUGGGCCGCACGCGUGCUACACUGAGUGGAUCAGCGGGUCAGGUUGCGCGAAAGUGUUUCCUAAUCUUGAAAUCCGCUCGUGAUGGGGAUUGACGGUUGCAAUUUUCCGUCAUGAACGAGGAAUACCUUGUAAGCGCGGGUCAUCAUCCCGCGCUGAAUACGUCCCUGCCCUUUGUACACACCGCCCGCCGCUCCUACCGAUUGAGUGGUCCGGUGAGGCUUUGGGAUCUGAGCAAAGAGAGCGUUUCGCUCGUUUUGCCCGGAAAACUCAGUCGAACCUUAUCAUUUAGAGGAAGGAGAAGUCGUAACA
rnacentral:rRNA from 1 species